AUAUUAAGAGAUAUUUAAGGGUUU
rnacentral:siRNA from 1 species